AAAAUAAGAGGCGACAGCGUUGAACAUUGUCAGUGCGACAAGCUGUUUAUAUAUGUUUUAUCAUUAUUAUUACUAUUAUUAUUAUUAGUGUUAUUAUUAUUGUCAGUGAAACAGGUAGUAGCUUUAUGACAACUGAUAGAUUUGGUGGGACAACCACCGCCGCCACCACGAUAACAACGACCACGACUAAGUACCCGGUCUGGACUUGUAAACGAACUGCUCUCACCGCUCUCUAUUCGUCUCUCUCUCUCUCUCUCUCUCGCUUUCUUUCUCUCUUUUUCACUUUGUCUAGCUCUCACUCUUUAGUGUACUUUUCCUCUUCCUCUCUCUUUCUCUUCUCUUCUCUUUCUCACACAUACUCAGACACACACUCUCUCCUUCUUCCCCUCUCUUCCUUUUCUGAUAUUACAUUCUAGUUUCACCUUAGAUCCAUCGUUUCGUUCAUGUGGACUAACGAGUUUACAUGCAGGUAAUCAGAAGAAGAAAAAAAGGGAGAAAAAAAUCAGUUUAUAGACCUACUGCAGUUCUUAGCAGACAAUUUUACCCGACAGGAACAAAAUAAUAAUAAUAACAAUAAUAAUAACAAUCGGAAGCAAGAUAAACCGCGAAGGGAUACUAAUUAUAAUAAGGAGGCUUAUUGUACACCCGAAACUUGGAGUCAACCAACAUAAACAAAAACAAAAGAUGAUAAAUGCUUAUGAAAUCAUGCAUGAAUGACGUGUCAUGAAAUUCUAAAAUUGCUGGAGUGAGAAUACCUGAAAAAAGAAAUAAUAUAUGCCCAAGGCCUAAUACACUUAAUCAAAACUCAGACCUGCCUCACUUGUAAGAAGAAAAACUCGGAGGAUUUUAUUUUGUUGCUGUUUUUGCUAUUUGUAAAUUUCAUUUUAAUUACUGAACCAUUAUGUGAGAAAUCAAAAUCUUCACAUACUUAUUUUUCUUCCCACCCGAAUCUCGAAGAAAUACUCGUAUAUAAUUACAAUCACUGAAUACCAACGAUAUUGUGAUCAAUAAAAAAAAUAUCACAUAUUUUCUAAUAUAAAAUUAAAAAGUAAAACAUGGAAACGAUUAGAAAAUACUUAAAAAAGAAGCCAAAAGAUUCAAAUGGCAUUGACGGCAAAUAUACCAUACCUGAAGAACUUAAGAGACAAUUUCCAGAUUAUAACACAGAUUCUACGGAAACGCAUCGUUUACGAACAAUUUCAAUUUCUAGGUCUGGUAGAUUCAAACCAAAACGAGAUCGCGGUGCCAUUUCACAGAGACCAGAUAUAUUUCAACAGCCAGCCAAGGAAAAGAAAGAGGAAGCGGCAUCCAGAGAAGAAAGGAAACAUGAUAGCCCUCGAACAACUCGGUCAUCGAAUAAUAAUUACCGGUAACAAACUAUCACUAAAAUAAGCUGGUUAUCCGUUUAAGCUAUAACUUUCUGGACUCGAGAAGCUAUGUAAUAUGGCGUUUACAAAUUCGCGCCAUAUUGCAAAAAAAAAAUGUAUAUCUAACAGAGAAAAAAAAAUUGAAAAUGAAAAAUAAAGAGUUACAUCCAAGAAUACAUAGUAUAUGGACAAAUGUAUAUACAUUUGUGAGCACAGCGAUUAUCAUUAAUUCUUUGAAGACGCUUUUAUAACAAAUUGAACUUGGAUAGGCGGGAGCGAUAAAAAAAAGUACCAGGCAUAAACUGGAAUAGAUUCAAAACGUUCAGUCGAUCACACUCUUCCUCUACAAAUUCGUCGGCUUUACACCAAUGUAAAAAAAAAAGUCGAAGUAUUUUAAAAUUUAGUAUUGUUUUAAUUCAACAGCAUUUUAGUAAAUGACAUUGUUAAAAUAAGGUUUAAACAUGUAAUUAUAUAUAUGCAUGAUGUAUGCGCAUAAUGUAUGUAUAACCUGUGUGCGUAUGUGUGUGUGCGUGUGUGUGAUAGCCCUUCCAAGACACGUCCUGUUUAUUUCUCUUUAGAGUUGGUAUGGGGACCACACGAAUUCUGAGGAGCAAGAAAGUCGACUGGUCUUACAAAAGACAUCAUCAUUAUAAAUAUCCCUACUUUAUUAUGUCUUGAAUACUUUGCCUCAAAUUGCGGUUUCUCCAUUGUUUGAAACGUAAUUAUGCAACUAUGUGCAUGUGCAUGUGCAUGUGUAUGUGUGUGUACGUGCAUGCAUGCGUGCGUGUGUGAGUGUGAGAGAGAAAAAGAGAGAGAAAGUGGGGAGCGCAGUUUGACUGAUUGUUUUAGGAGAUUGUUUUACAGCCAUAAGAUUCUGGUAUCGAUUCUACCGUGUGCCAUCUUGGGUAAAUGUCAUUUUCUGUAGCUACGGCUCGAUCCAUACAUUGUAAAUGGAACCGGACAGCACGAAAACUACAUAGGCUCUCGUGAUAGAUCGUGCCUAUAAUACAACAUGCAUGGCCUUCCCGCUGAUUCUAUCUGAGAACUACGUUAAGGGUACAGGUGCAGGUAAUUCACUUGAUCGAACAAUUGAGUCCUCCUCGGUGAACGAAGUCACAUGCACACGCGAACACACACACACACACACACACACACACACACACACACACACACACACACACACACACACACACACACACACACACAUAUCUGUGUAUUUGGGCUUAUAUGCGUUUAGAAUGAAAUACGUGUAUGUACUCAAGCAAAGAUAUAUUAAUAUAUAAGAUAUAUGAAUAUAUUUAUAAAGACAUAUAGAUAUAUUUAUGUAUAUAGUGGGAUAUGUAGAAAUAUAGACACAUAUAGACAUACAAAAGUUGCACAGGUUGCAGACCAUGAUGAGUUUCCGUGUCUCAUUGUCUUGACUUGAAGCCUUCCCAAAUUCAUAUUCUUCUCGCACUGUUAUGGCGUUGACACAAUGUACACCAGCAAUAUAUUAGAGAACGUUCGGCCUACUUUAACUACGAAAUUUGUAAAAAGUUGGUAUUACAAAGAUAUCAGUAUUUGUUAGUCUGUUGGGGAGGGAGAGUUUCUAAGGGUCGUUUUAGACCCUCUCUGGUUGCGGACAUGGAAUGACGAGGUGAAGUUGUUGCACUAUGUAUAUAUUUGUGUGUGUGCAUAUAUAUAUGACAAGAGUAGAGAUUCAAA
rnacentral:lncRNA from 1 species